rnacentral:ncRNA from 2 species
GGAGAGAUGGCUGAGUGGA